UGGCCUUCCCACCGCGGCCCCUCGACUCCCGCCGCGAGAGCAGGCGCGCACGCGGGGUGCUGGGCGGCGUCGCGGGGACUGCGAGUUGCCCUGACGGCUCGAGAGCAGCGCGGUAACUCGUGAGGAGGGGCUCUUCCGUAGCGCACCGAGCCCAGCACCCAGCCCACUCUCCGGGAGGCCCCUGAAGGCGGUGUGGCCGUGGCAGUUCCGCAGAGGACCAGCUAGGGUCCAAACCUCCCCGCCUGACACCCAGGAGGAGCUAACCGGCUGACGGCGAGGACUGCACCGGUGGACCCCAGCUCUCCGGGCAAGCACGGGAAGCCGCAGUGCAGUGUUGACUCGGGCGCUCUCUGCCCUGGGGGUGCUCUCUGCUCGAGCCCUUCUUAGCUUUCACUCGUAAUACAUUCCUCUUGCUUGGCUUUUCGUGUCUGACUUUAAAAUUUUCUUCCGACUCCAGAACUAGAUUUGGAGUUCAAGCUCGACUGGGACCAGCGCCACCCACCUACAGGACAGGACACAGAACUGAGGUUUGGAGCUCCUGCUCCUUACUCUCCUGUGACAAGGUGGUGUCCAGGACAAGAGCUGAGAGAUUGACCUGCAGCUGGGGAGGAGGAGUCCUCUAAACAGGACCACCAGGGCCCUGGUGGACAGCAAGCCUGGGACAACUCAAGAUCCUCAUGUGGGUUCAGUUCCUGAGCAGGAGAGUGGGCUGCAGACUGAUUGUCCCCCUCCUUGGUCCUGCUGAAGUCACACAGACUUCAGGACCCCUUCCUCUGGGGUCCUGACCCCAGUGGUCCUGGGGGCUGCCCAUCGUGCCUUAGGAGGCCUGUGCUGGCUCCAGCUGGACACUGACUUUGGAGGUGGCAAAUACUGCUGGUGGGGAGAAGGUGGAGCAGGCGACCAGGCCCCCUGGAGUGCAGUAGUGGUUGGACAGGGCAGCUGUGGUGACUUCGAGGUUGGCACUGCAGGCUGAGUCGGGCUCUGGCCCCUGGUGUGCUCUCUCAGUGGGACACUAAACCUUGGCUGCCUUUCUGGCCAGUUAAAUAAACCUGGAACUGGUAAAGUUUCAUAAUCAAUGUAAA